UNAAGUUAAAGGCUGUGGCUCAACCAUAGUUCGCUUUGGAAACUGUCAAACUNGAGUGCAGAAGGGGAGAGUGGAAUUCCAUGUGUAGCGGUGAAAUGCGUAGAUAUAUGGAGGAACACCGGUGGCGAAAGCGGCUCUCUGGUCUGUAACUGACGCUGAGGCUCGAAAGCGUGGGGAGCGAACAGGAUUAGAUACCCUGGUAGUNCACGCCGUAAACGAUGAGUGCUAGGUGUUGGAUCCUUUCCGGGAUUCAGUGCCGCAGCUAACGCAUUAAGCACUCCGCCUGGGGAGUACGACCGCAAGGUUGAAACUCAAAGGAAUUGACGGGGGCCCGCACAAGCGGUGGAGCAUGUGGUUUAAUUCGAAGCAACGCGAAGAACCUUACCAGGUCUUGACAUCCCGAUGCUAUUUCUAGAGAUAGGAAGUUACUUCGGUACAUCGGUGACAGGUGGUGCAUGGUUGUCGUCAGCUCGUGUCGUGAGAUGUUGGGUUNNNNNNCGCAACGAGCGCAACCCCUAUUGUUAGUUGCCAUCAUUCAGUUGGGCACUCUAGCGAGACUGCCGGUAAUAAACCGGAGGAAGGUGGGGAUGACGUCAAAUCAUCAUGCCCCUUAUGACCUGGGCUACACACGUGCUACAAUGGUUGGUACAACGAGUUGCGAGUCGGUGACGGCGAGCUAAUCUCUUAAAGCCAAUCUCAGUUCGGAUUGUAGGCUGCAACUCGCCUACAUGAAGUCGGAAUCGCUAGUAAUCGCGGAUCAGCACGCCGCGGUGAAUACGUUCCCGGGCCU
rnacentral:rRNA from 1 species